UACAGAGGUCCCGAGCGUUGUUCGGAUUCACUGGGCGUAAAGGGUGCGCAGGCGGCCGUGUGUGUCAGGUGUGAAAGCCCGGAGCUUAACUCCGGAAUUGCGCCUGAAACUACAUGGCUAGAGCAUUGGAGAGGGUAGCGGAAUUCACGGUGUAGCAGUGAAAUGCGUAGAUAUCGUGAGGAACACCAGAGGCGAAGGCGGCUACCUGGACAAUUGCUGACGCUCAGGCACGAAAGCGUGGGGAGCAAAAGGG
rnacentral:rRNA from 1 species